AAUAGAUACCCCGGUAGUCCACGCCGUAAACGAUGAGUGCUAGGUGUUAGGGGGUUUCCGCCCCUUAGUGCUGCAGCUAACGCAUUAAGCACUCCGCCUGGGGAGUACGGUCGCAAGACUGAAACUCAAAGGAAUUGACGGGGGCCCGCACAAGCGGUGGAGCAUGUGGUUUAAUUCGAAGCAACGCGAAGAACCUUACCAGGUCUUGACAUCCCGCUGACCGCCAUGGAGACAUGGCCUUCCCUUCGGGGACAGCGGUGACAGGUGGUGCAUGGUUGUCGUCAGCUCGUGUCGUGAGAUGUUGGGUUAAGUCCCGCAACGAGCGCAACCCUUGUCCUUAGUUGCCAUCAUUCAGUUGGGCACUCUAAGGAGACUGCCGUACAAAUACGGAGGAAGGUAGGGAUGACGUCAAAUCAUCAUGCCCCUUAUGACCUGGGCUACACACGUGCUACAAUGGGUGUACAAAGGGCAGCGAACCCGCGAGGGGGAGCGAAUCCCAAAAAGCCACUCUCAGUUCGGAUUGCAGGCUGCAAC
rnacentral:rRNA from 1 species